UUGAACGCUGGCGGCAUGCCUUACACAUGCAAGUCGCACGGUAACGGGCCUUCGGGUGCCGACGAGUGGCGAACGGGUGAGUAAUACAUCGGAACGUGCCCGAUCGUGGGGGAUAACGAGGCGAAAGCUCUGCUAAUACCGCAUACGAUCUACGGAUGAAAGCAGGGGACCGCAAGGCCUUGCGCGGACGGAGCGGCCGAUGGCAGAUUAGGUAGUUGGUGGGAUAAAAGCUUACCAAGCCGACGAUCUGUAGCUGGUCUGAGAGGAUGAUCAGCCACACUGGGACUGAGACACGGCCCAGACUCCUACGGGAGGCAGCAGUGGGGAAUUUUGGACAAUGGGCGCAAGCCUGAUCCAGCCAUGCCGCGUGCAGGAUGAAGGCCUUCGGGUUGUAAACUGCUUUUGUACGGAACGAAAAGCCUUCUUUUAAUACAGGAGGGUCAUGACGGUACCGUAAGAAUAAGCACCGGCUAACUACGUG
rnacentral:rRNA from 1 species